UUUGUUAAUCUGCAUCUGAACUUUCUCUUCAGAGAGAUUGCAUUUACCGCGGUGGAAAUCUGGCUUCUAUCCACAACGCCGAUGAGUAUGCCUUCAUCAGACGUUUUAUCUACUGUAAAACAGGAAACAAAAGAAGAACCUGGGUUGGAGGGUGUGAUGCAAUAAAAGAGGGUAUUUGGUUGUGGAGCGAUGGUUCAAAAAAUGACUUCAACAUGUGGGGCCCUGGACAACCGGACAACUAUCGUGUGGAGAACUGCAUGGAGAUUAACUUCAAAGGUCAAUCUGCUAAUGACUAUCACAAUGCCUAUAUCUGCAGCAGACAUCCAUAAGUGUGUCCAGUAGGAUCCCAA